GACAGGGGAUGCAAGCGUUAUCCGGAAUGAUUGGGCGUAAAGCGUCUGUAGGUGGCUUUUUAAGUCUGCCGUCAAAUCCCAGGGCUCAGCCCUGGCCAGGCGGUGGAGACUACUAAGCUGGAGUACGGUAGGGGCAGAGGGAAUUUCCGGUGGAGCGGUGAAAUGCGUAGAUAUCGGAAAGAACACCAAGGGCGAAGGCACUCUGCUGGGCCGAAACUGACACUGAGAGACGAGAGCUAGGGGAGCAAAUGGG
rnacentral:rRNA from 1 species